GUGGGUUGUGAUCAUCAUCAUCAUUGGUAGUGUUACAAUGGCAGAAUAAGUAUGGGCGUGAAUUAUAUGAUUACCUAAUUGGGUCAUAUUAACUUAACAAAUAGUGCAGAAGCCUAUAGAAUCAGAUUUAUAGUCUCUAAUUAAAAAUAGCCAAAACUAGACAUGACAACCUUUCCAACCUGUUUGCUUGAAAUUUAAGGGACACAAGAAUGGGGCGAAGAAGAAAGUAGAUUCCCUCACUGCACAUGAUGUAAGUAUUUUCUAGCAGCAACAUGUAUAAUUUGUCUGGCCUGGUUUUAGUGACCAAUUAUAUAUCUGAUCUUCCUCUAGCCCUUAAUGAUUUGAUUAGCCUUCUUACCCUAUAAAUCAAGCACUGUAUUAAUUAAAUGAGAUCAUGGUCUUAGUAGGUAGUCUAUGAUUUGUUUAAAUUUGAUGCACUAGACUAAAAGCUGGAUUAGUUUGUUAAUUACAAAUUAGUAGUCCAGCAUUGUUGGGUGGCCAGCUCGUAUUGGGGGAGAUUUCGACGGUGUGAUCAAAGAAUGUGACUGAUUUUGAUCACAAGGACGAGGUUCCAUCUUUGUUGGUGUUGUUUUCAUGGGUUUGCUGUCAUUAGCAUGCUAAAUCUGUGAUUAGUUGAGAAAGGUGUCUCAAGUUUAGUUUUUAAUUAGAAUGGGAUGUGAUAUUAUAAACGCCCAAAUCUGAUGUAGAUGUGUACCCUUGCGCAUUGGUGGAGGAGACCAGGUUAGGUUCGUAUUAAGAUGACAUAAGCUCGCCUUAAUUGUUACAAUACCAAUAUGGUCACCGUGACACGAUAUAGAUGAUAAUAUGUUUAAUUACAUAGAUUUUUAGUUCGGAAUAUCUUAUUUGUUAAGUUGCCCGCAAUCUAUUAAUGUUUGUUAAAAUGAAGUAAUCAACAAUGACAUUCAAUUGAUUGAAAUAAAGACUAUUGUAUACAAGAAAAGUAGAACCAUGAACACGAUAGUGCAUUGUGGUGUUGGAAUUUUGUGUCUUGAUUUAAACCGAUAUUGUGAAAAGAAAAGGCUUCAUAUAGGUGAAGAAAUGUAACACAAUCAAUGUAAGUCAAUGAUUUCCUCCUAAUGGUAAUUAGUCCCUUUCGGAUAAAACUCACACUUGUCUUUACCAUAUGUUGUUAACAAGCUUCUUAAAGGCCCCGUCUAGGGUUUAGGCUGUAACAAGUUGCCUCGUUUUUCUUCGAGGCCUUUGUGCUAGGUUGUGGGCAAUUAGGCGGCUGCCUAAACGCCACUUAUGCCACCUAGACACAGCCUAACUCGCCUAGGCUACUAAGUUUUCCGGUUAAUUUGUUGUCUUUUUGUGGUGGGGUUGAUAUUGUGGGGAGCAUGAGAGUAUAAAAGUGAAUGAUGUGUUUAAAAUUAGAAUUGUAUAAAGAAGUUAUGCUAAAUUUUGGAUAAAUUUAUCCUAUAAAUGAAUCUCAUAAGAUUUAUGUUGAAUAAUUUAUCCAUAUUUGACCAUUUUCAAGUAUUUAAGUACAUAAAAUAUAUAUUUUUAAUUAAUAAAUCUUUAAAAAAACAAAUCGCCUAUACCUCGUUUGUCCAGGCUUUUGCCUGCGGGUUACCGCCAGCCUAUCGCUUAGCGCCUUUUAGAACAUUGGUUGUUAAAUACAGAUAAUAUGGAUAUUAAAUGGUACCACUAAGAGUAACCAUGUGAAUUUCGUUGUCGAAAAAGUUAGGCACUCAAUAACUUUCUUUUGAAAGAGAGUUAUGGAAGCUUGAUUUUCUAUAUUUGCACAAUUAUGCACUACAAGCUCAAAUAACAUAAACUCGAUUUGGAACGAUUACCUUCCUAAAAAAUGUUAAGCACCUUAUGCGUCCGACAUGAACAUGUUCAAAAUUGAUAGGGCAAUGAAGAACAAUAAGACCUAAUUUAUGUUAGUAGUUAGUAAGUACAAUCCCACUUUACACUUCUCUGCCUAACUGGUGAUUGCAAAAUCUGCAACCAGGUGAGAGCAUGAUCACUUUGAACCUACUUUUUCCAGUCCCGUAGCACACACACACCCAAACGUGGCCUAUACAAAAGCUUCUGAAUUCUGAAACCAUUUGGCCCCGAGCAGAUCACAGUCGAAUAGUACUGGCUUGAAUCCAAGCCAAUGUAUCCAACAUAUAUUGCAUACUGGUCCAAAUUUGUAGAUAGGAAUCAUAGCAGGAUUGGAUAGCAAUGGCAUCAUCACUCUCUCCAAGUCUCGACGAAUAUUCAAACCAUUCCCAGCUAUCACUCGUGUUUGGGUCCCUCUAUCUAUCCCAAGAUCAGGAAAUUAGGUUUGCAACAUAACAAAGAUGGGUCCAUCAACAGAGACUCAUACUCAAUCAGAGAAUGAGAGAGUGAGAGAUCAUGAUCAUGAUCAUGCCAAGGAAUCAUUACAACUUGAAGAUAUUCAUAAAGGGCCCAUUUAUUGCUUAAAGGGUACUAAUAAUGCUAGCGAAAGAGUUGAGUCGAUCCACCGAUAAACAAAGAUUAGUAUGACACGUUAAGAUAUACGACAUACAUGGGAGCAAAUUUGCUCCCCACCCAAACUUACCCACCCUCAUACCCACCCUUCUAUAUGGAUGCCAAGUGUCUUAUCCUCUAAUCACCUUAACCAUGGUUAACUACAUGGGUUUAUAAAUUAUAUUAUCUUCUAACUCUAAUUCUUUUCUUUUUCCUUUCCCUCUUUUUCUAAACAAAAUACUCAAACCUAACAAAUUUAGGACUCCUCAUAUUUUGAGGAGCAUCUCUAGUGUCGGUGUUAUCAACUCAAAGUCAUAUUCACGUCGGAUCCAUUCACGUCUGGGUUCUUCCUCCUUCUCAUAUCUCUUCCCUUUUGGUUUCUCUUGUAAGUAUGAAGCUCUGUUAAUCUUUCAUGUUUUUGUUCUUCUCCUUCUGGUAAUUGUGAAUUUCUGAUAAAGUCUAUUGAUCAGAACCCAUCGUCUUAUGCAUAGCAGUGGACUGUGAGGUUGAAUCACUUUCAUGAUCAUGUCUUGUGAGGUUACAAUCUGACAAGGUAUAUAUGAUGCUAUCAAUUUUUUUUCAUGAAUAAGCCAAUUUCCCUCUCAUUGAAUUUAAGAUGCAUCAGUUUGGCUUUGGCAGUUCUCAUGAAUGAGCCAAUUUCCCUUUCCUGAAUGCUACUGCAAAUUUUAAUAUGUACUUAGUGUUAUUAU
rnacentral:lncRNA from 1 species